rnacentral:rRNA from 1 species
UACGGAGGGUGCAAGCGUUGUCCGGAAUCACUGGGCGUAAAGGGCGCGUAGGCGGCUCAUGAAGGCUGUGGUGAAAGUCCGGGGCUCAACCUCGGAUCGGCCGUGGCGACUCGUGGGCUGGAGCACUGUAGAGGCGGGUGGAAUUCCGGGUGUAGCGGUGGAAUGCGUAGAGAUCGGGAGGAACACCUGUGGCGAAGGCGGCUCGCUGGGCCGGUCCUGACGCUGAGACGCGAAGGCGUGGGGAGCGAACGGG